rnacentral:rRNA from 1 species
GACGAACGCUGGCGGCGUGCCUAACACAUGCAAGUCGAACGGAAAGGCCCUGCUUUUGUGGGGUGCUCGAGUGGCGAACGGGUGAGUAACACGUGAGUAACCUGCCCGUGACUUUGGGAUAACUUCAGGAAACUGGGGCUAAUACCGGAUAGGAGCUCCUGCUGCAUGGUGGGGGUUGGAAAGUUUCGGCGGUUGGGGAUGGACUCGCGGCUUAUCAGCUUGUUGGUGGGGUAGUGGCUUACCAAGGCUUUGACGGGUAGCCGGCCUGAGAGGGUGACCGGCCACAUUGGGACUGAGAUACGGCCCAGACUCCUACGGGAGGCAGCAGUGGGGAAUAUUGCACAAUGGGCGGAAGCCUGAUGCAGAAACGCCGCGUGCGGGAUGACGGCCUUCGGGUUGUAAACCGCUUUCGCCUGUGACGAAGCGUGAGUGACGGUAAUGGGUAAAGAAGCACCGGCUAACUACGUG